rnacentral:rRNA from 1 species
UCUGCCCAGUGAAAUAAUUUAACGGCCGCAUUAAGUGCUAAGGUAGCAUAAUGAUUCGCCCUUUAAUUGGGGGCUUGUAUGAACGAACUCAUAAAUUAAUUCUUUAUUACCCUUAAACCUAUAACUUAAAUUUUAUGUGAAAAUUCAUAAUUUAUUUAAAAAGACCAAAAGACCCUAGGAGCUUAAAUUUUAAUUUAUUGUUAAAUUAAAAAUUUUGGUUGGGGAAACCUGGGAUAGUCCUCCUAUCUGAUAUUACUACAAUCUUUUUUAAUUUUAAAAUAGCUACCCUAGGGAUAACAGGCUACUCUUUUUUAAAAGUCCAAAUUUACAAAAAGACAUAGCACCUCGAUGUUGGCUUAGGAGUAAGUAAAAUGCAGCAGUUUUACUUAAUGGCUU